rnacentral:tRNA from 1 species
GGAGGGGUCGCAUAGUGGCCGAGUGCGGGCGCCUGCUAAGCGCUUACUGGGUGUAUAGCUCAGUCGAGGGUUCGAAUCCCUCCCCCUCCGCCA